rnacentral:rRNA from 1 species
AUUGAACGCUGGCGGCAGGCUUAACACAUGCAAGUCGAGCGAGCGGCGGACGGGUGAGUAAUGUUUGGGAAACUGUCUGAUGGAGGGGGAUAACUACUGGAAACUGUAGCUAAUACCGCAUACCAUCGGAUGUGCCCAUAUGGGAUUAGCUAGUAGGUGGGGUAAUGGCUCACCAAGCCGACGAGCCCUAGCUGGUCUGAGAGGAUGACCAGCCACACUGGAACUGAGAGACGGUCCAGACUCCUACGGGAGGCAGCAGUGGGGAAUAUUGCACAAUGGGCGCAAGCCUGAUGCAGCCAUGCCGCGUGUGUGAAGAAGGCCUUCGGGUUGUAAAGCACUUUCAGCAAGGAGGCGUUACUCGCAGAAGAAGCACCGGCUAACUCCGUGCCAGCAGCCGCGGUAAUAC